UACAGAGGUCUCAAGCGUUGUUCGGGAUUCAUUGGGCGUAAAGGGUGCGUAGGCUGGCGCGGUAAGUCGGGUGUGAAAUCUCGGAGCUUAACUCCGAAACUGCAUUCGAUACUGCCGUGCUUGAGGACUGGAGAGGAGACUGGAAUUUACGGUGUAGCGGUGAAAUGCGUAGAGUAUCGGGAGGAACACCAGUGGCGAAGGCGGUUACCUGGAGCUUUGGCUGACGCUGAUGCGCGAAAGCGUGGGGAGCGAUCCGG
rnacentral:rRNA from 1 species